AGUGAACGCUGGCGGUAGGCCUAACACAUGCAAGUCGAACGGCAGCACAGGAGAGCUUGCUCUCUGGGUGGCGAGUGGCGGACGGGUGAGGAAUACAUCGGAAUCUACUCUGUCGUGGGGGAUAACGUAGGGAAACUUACGCUAAUACCGCAUACGACCUACGGGUGAAAGCAGGGGACCCUCGGGCCUUGCGCGAUUGAAUGAGCCGAUGUCGGAUAGCUAGUUGGCGGGGUAAAGGCCCACCAAGGCGACGAUCCGUAGCUGGUCCGAGAGGAUGAUCAGCCACACUGGAACUGAGACACGGUCCAGACUCCUACGGGAGGCAGCAGUGGGGAAUAUUGGACAAUGGGCGCAAGCCUGAUCCAGCCAUACCGCGUGGGUGAAGAAGGCCUUCGGGUUGUAAAGCCCUUUUGUUGGGAAAGAAAUCCAGCUGGCUAAUACCCGGUUGGGAUGACGGUACCCAAAGAAUAAGCACCGGCUAACUUCGUGCCAGCCGCCGCCGUAA
rnacentral:rRNA from 1 species